GAGUUUGAUCGUGGCUCAGAUUGAACGCUGGCGGCAUGCCUUACACAUGCAAGUCGAACGGCAGCACGGGAGCUUGCUCCUGGUGGCGAGUGGCGAACGGGUGAGUAAUGCAUCGGAACGUAUCCUGGAGUGGGGGAUAACGUAGCGAAAGUUACGCUAAUACCGCAUAUUCUGUGAGCAGGAAAGCGGGGGGACCUUCGGGGCCUCGCGCUCUUGGAGCGGCCGAUGUCGGAUUAGCUAGUUGGUGAGGUAAAGGCUCACCAAGGCGACGAUCCGUAGCAGGUCUGAGAGGAUGAUCUGCCACACUGGAACUGAGACACGGUCCAGACUCCUACGGGAGGCAGCAGUGGGAAUUUUGGACAAUGGGGGCAACCCUGAUCCAGCCAUGCCGCGUGAGUGAAGAAGGCCU
rnacentral:rRNA from 1 species